rnacentral:rRNA from 1 species
GACGAACGCUGGCGGCGUGCUUAACACAUGCAAGUCGAACGGAAAGGCCCUGCUUUUGUGGGGUGCUCGAGUGGCGAACGGGUGAGUAACACGUGAGUAACCUGCCCUUGACUUUGGGAUAACUUCAGGAAACUGGGGCUAAUACCGGAUAGGAGCUCCUGCUGCAUGGUGGGGGUUGGAAAGUUUCGGCGGUUGGGGAUGGACUCGCGGCUUAUCAGCUUGUUGGUGGGGUAGUGGCUUACCAAGGCUUUGACGGGUAGCCGGCCUGAGAGGGUGACCGGCCACAGUGGGACUGAGAUACGGCCCAGACUGCUACGGGAGGCAGCAGUGGGGAAUAUUGCACAAUGGGCGGAAGCGUGAUGCAGCAACGCCGCGUGCGGGAUGACGGCCUUCGGGUUGUAAACCGCUUUCGCCUGUGACGAAGCGUGAGUGACGGUAAUGGGUAAAGAAGCACCGGCUAACUACGU